GGCGGUUCUAUGGUGAUGCACCUCGGAAUCGGGCUCCCUCCUCACUGGUUCCAGGGUGUGUCACUCGAGAACCACC
rfam:Myotis brandtii contig316429, whole genome shotgun sequence.